rnacentral:tRNA from 1 species
UGCCCUGAUAGUGUAGUGGUCAAGCACAUCGCCUUCUCAAGGCGAUAACCCGGGUCCGAAUCCCGGCCAGGGUAU